UCGCAGGUUGAUUUCCUCGUGAUAGCCU
rnacentral:sRNA from 1 species